GAUGAACGCUGGCGGCGUGCCUAAUACAUGCAAGUCGAGCGAAUGGAUUAAGAGCUUGCUCCUAUGAAGUUAGCGGCGGACGGGUGAGUAACACGUGGGUAACCUGCCCAUAAGACUGGGAUAACUCCGGGAAACCGGGGCUAAUACCGGAUAACAUUUUGAACCGCAUGGUUCGAAAUUGAAAGGCGGCUUCGGCUGUCACUUAUGGAUGGACCCGCGUCGCAUUAGCUAGUUGGUGAGGUAACGGCUCACCAAGGCAACGAUGCGUAGCCGAGCUGAGAGGGUGAUCGGCCACACUGGGACUGAGACACGGCCCAGACUCCUACGGGAGGCAGAAGUAGGGAAUCUUCCGCAAUGGACGAAAGUCUGACGGAGCAACGCCGCGUGAGUGAUGAAGGCUUUCGGGUCGUAAAACUCUGUUGUUAGGGAAGAACAAGUGCUAGUUGAAUAAGCUGGCACCUUGACGGUACCUAACCAGAAAGCCACGGCUAACUACGUGCCAGCCGCCGCGGUAA
rnacentral:rRNA from 1 species